AUACGGAGGAUGCGAGCGUUAUCCGGAUUUAUUGGGUUUAAAGGGAGCGUAGGUGGGAUAUUAAGUCAGCUGUGAAAGUUUGGGGCUCAACCUUAAAAUUGCAAUUGAUACUGGUUUCCUUGAGUACGGUACAGGUGGGCGGAAUUCGUGGUGUAGCGGUGAAAUGCUUAGAUAUCACGAAGAACUCCGAUCGCGAAGGCAGCUCACCGGGCCGGAACUGACACUGAUGCUCGAAAGUGCGGGUAUCAAACAGGAUUAGAUACCCUGGUAGUCCGCACAGUAAACGAUGAAUACUCGCUGUUUGCGAUACACUGUAAGCGGCCAAGCGAAAGCGUUAAGUAUUCCACCUGGGGAGUACGCCGGCAACGGUGAAACUCAAAGGAAUUGACGGGG
rnacentral:rRNA from 1 species